rnacentral:lncRNA from 1 species
UCACGUCGCUGCCGGACAAGUGUGAACCAUUCGUAAGAAACAAGAGAGACAGAGAAGGUCAGCCCGACCCCGGGUUAUGGAAGAAGGAGAGCAAGGAACCGAGAAGGUAUCCGCAACAACGGAUUUUAUUGUGGGACAGCUCAUGAUCAGCUCGGGAGCAAAGGGCUGAGGAGCUCGAUUGCGGUGGUUGUGGCGCGGUGGUGACGAUCAUUACGAUGGUGGUGGUGCCAGCGAUUCCAGUGGGGUGUCGGCGCAAUCCGGGGCCGACAAAGGAGGAGGGAGAGAGAAAGGUGGACUAGGUUUGGUUUCAUAUGAUGAGAUCGUGUGCGUUGGGUCAGAAGCACGUAUUAGUGACCAAACACUGAAUAAAUGAUUGAAUAGUGGCCGGGUAAGUGGCAUAAUUUGUCUGUUUAUCUUUUCAUCGUAAGACAAAUUUCAAUGGACAAGAUUAUUUGAAA